rnacentral:rRNA from 1 species
GAACCGGGAUGAGGGGCUCUGGGUCCACCUCCCACCCAUGUUUAUUGUACCUUGUUGCUUCGGCGGGCCCGCCUCACGGCCGCCGGGGGGCUUCUGCCCUCUGGCCCGCGCCCGCCGAAGACACCAUUGAACACUGUCUGAAGAUUGCAGUCUGAGCAAUUAGCUAAAUAAGUUAAAACUUUCAACAACGGAUCUCUUGGUUCCGGCAUCGAUGAAGAACGCAGCGAAAUGCGAUACGUAAUGUGAAUUGCAGAAUUCAGUGAAUCAUCGAGUCUUUGAACGCACAUUGCGCCCCUUGGUAUUCCGGGGGGCAUGCCUGUCCGAGCGUCAUUGCUGCCCUCAAGCACGGCUUGUGUGUUGGGCCCCGUCCUCCUUCCCGGGGGACGGGCCCGAAAGGCAGCGGCGGCACCGCGUCCGGUCCUCGAGCGUAUGGGGCUUUGUCACCCGCUCUUGUAGGCCCGGCCGGCGCUUGCCGACAACCAUCAAUCUUUUUUCAGGUUGACCUCGGAUCAGGUAGGGAUACCCGCUGAACUUAAGCAUAUCAAUAAGGCCGGAGGAA